AAUGGUUUGUAGUUAGAAACCUUUGUAGCCUGUGCGUUUGGGCUUAGUUGGUUGCCUAAGCGUGGCGUAGCACCCCAAUGGUUUAGAUUUUAAAUUUGCUUCCGCAU